GAAAUACAUUAAAAUAAGCUUCUAACUUAUAAAAAAGCAGAUUAACUGUUUAUAUUUCU
rnacentral:tRNA from 1 species